GGGUGGUUAACUUAGUUGGGAGAGCAUUGCCCUUAAAAGGCGAGGGUCGCAGGUUCGAACCCUGCACCACCCACCA
rnacentral:tRNA from 1 species